rnacentral:rRNA from 1 species
AACGAACGCUGGCGGCAGGCCUAACACGUGCAAGUCGAACGCUGUAGCAAUACAGAGUGGCAGACGGGUGAGUAACGCGUGGGAACAUGCCCUUCGGUUCGGAAUAACUCAGGGAAACUUGAGCUAAUACCGGAUACGCCCUUAGGGGGAAAGAUUUAUUGCCGAAGGAUUGGCCCGCGUCCGAUUAGCUAGUUGGUGGGGUAACGGCUCACCAAGGCGACGAUCGGUAGCUGGUCUGAGAGGAUGAUCAGCCACACUGGGACUGAGACACGGCCCAGACUCCUACGGGAGGCAGCAGUGGGGAAUAUUGGACAAUGGGCGCAAGCCUGAUCCAGCCAUGCCGCGUGAGUGAUGAAGGCCCUAGGGUUGUAAAGCUCUUUCGCCAGGGACGAUAAUGACGGUACCUGGAUAAGAAGCCCCGGCUAACUUCGUGCCAGCCGCCGCCGUAAAAC